rnacentral:rRNA from 1 species
GACGAACGCUGGCGGCGUGCUUAACACAUGCAAGUCGUACGGUAGGGCCCUUUCGGGGGUACACGAGUGGCGAACGGGUGAGUAACACGUGAGUAACCUGCCCACAACUUUGGGAUAACGCUAGGAAACUGGUGCUAAUACUGGAUAUGUGCUCCUGCUGCAUGGUGGGGGUUGGAAAGCUCCGGCGGUUGUGGAUGGACUCGCGGCCUAUCAGCUUGUUGGUGGGGUAGUGGCCUACCAAGGCGGCGACGGGUAGCCGGCCUGAGAGGGUGACCGGCCACAUUGGGACUGAGAUACGGCCCAGACUCCUACGGGAGGCAGCAGUGGGGAAUAUUGCACAAUGGGCGCAAGCCUGAUGCAGCAACGCCGCGUGCGGGAUGACGGCCUUCGGGUUGUAAACCGCUUUCAGCAGGGACGAAGCUUUUUGUGACGGUACCUGCAGAAGAAGCACCGGCUAACUACGUG